CCUACGGGGGGCAGCAGUGGGGAAUAUUGGGCAAUGGGCGCAAGCCUGACCCAGCAACGCCGCGUGAAGGAAGAAGGCUUUCGGGUUGUAAACUUCUUUUGACAGGGAAGAGCAGAAGACGGUACCUGUCGAAUAAGCCACGGCUAACUACGUGCCAGCAGCCGCGGUAAUUCGUAGGUGGCAAGCGUUGUCCGGAUUUCCUGGGGGUAAAGGGCGUGUAGCCGGGCUGACAAGUCAGAUGGGAAAUCCGGGGGCUGAACCCCCGAACUGCCUUUGAAACUGUUGGUCCUGAGUAUCGGAAGGGCAGGCGGAAGUCCGAGGUGAGGGGGUGAAUGGGGAGGUAUUAGGAGGAA
rnacentral:rRNA from 1 species